GCACAUGCACUCCUACUCAUAUUCAAUCCCCAAAUACAUUUGUUUUUCAAUCAGCAUGGACUCCUGCACCUAUUCAGUCCCCAGAUGCAUUUUUUUAGUCAUCAGUUCAAGUUAAUCCCUCAAAUGAAGAUGCUCUUCAUUCACCACCUCAAGUAGGAGGAAAUUCUCAUGUACAAGAUGAACAUGAAUAAGAUGAAAAUUAGGAUACUUUGUUGGAAGUUGAACAAGAAAGGCCACCAACACACAAGGAAGCAUGGUUGGUUGAUGUUAUUGAUGACCAAUGUAAGAUGACUACCAAACACUUAAAAACAAAUGAUGUUUGGAAUUUGCCUCAAAAUGAAAGGAUUAUUGUACAUUGGAAUGAGGAAUAUCAACCAAUUGGAGAUGGUGGCGCAUUAUUGAAUCGAUUCUUGGGAAGUAUCGCUA